CCUACGGGAAGCAGCAGUUUCGAAUCGUUCACAAUGGGGGCAACCCUGAUGGCGCGACGCCGCGUGGGGGAUGAAGGUCUUCGGAUUGUAAACUCCUGUCAUUGGGGACUAAUGGCCAGGCUCAUACCCUGGUUUGAAUUAACCCAAAGAGGAAGCAGUGGCUAACUCUGUGCCAGCAGCCGCGGUAAUACAGAGACUGCAAGCGUUACUCGGAUUCACUGGGCGUAAAGGGAGCGCAGGCGGACUGGUGUGUCAGGCGUGAAAUCUCGGGGCUCAACCCCGAGGCUGCGCCCGAAACUACUAGUCUAGAGACUUGGAGGGGUAAGCGGAAUUCUUGGUGGAGCAGUGAAAUGCGUAGAUAUCAAGAGGAACACCAACGGCGAAGGCAGCUUACUGGACAAGAUCUGACGCUCAGGCUCGAAAGCGUGGGGAGCAAAAGGGAUUAGAUACCCCUGUAGUCCACGCUGUAAACGGUGCGCAUUAGGUCUCGGAGCUUUCGAACGCUUCGGGGCUCAAGCUAACGCAUUAAAUGCGCCGCCUGGNGAGUUACGCGCGAGACGUAAACUUAAAUUAGAGUAGAGGCGNGAGAGNGCGAGACGACACGAGGAGAGG
rnacentral:rRNA from 1 species